GAUCAUGGCUCAGGAUGAACGCUAGCUACAGGCUUAACACAUGCAAGUCGAGGGGAAACGAUAUUGGAAGCUUGCUUCCGAUAGGCGUCGACCGGCGCACGGGUGAGUAACGCGUAUGCAACCUGCCCGAUACCGGGGUAUAGCCCAUGGAAACGUGGAUUAACACCCCAUAGUACUUUUAUCCUGCCUGGGAUGGGAGUUAAAUGUUCAAGGUAUCGGAUGGGCAUGCGUCCUAUUAGUUAGUUGGG
rnacentral:rRNA from 1 species